rnacentral:rRNA from 1 species
CAGCCGCCGCGGGAAUACGAAGGGGGCUAGCGUUGUUCGGAAUUACUGGGCGUAAAGGGCGCGUAGGCGGCCAUUCAAGUUAGAUGUGAAAGUCCUGGGCUCAACCUAGGAAUUGCAUUUGAUACUGUUUGGCUUGAGUUCGGGAGAGGUGAGUGGAAUUCCCAGUGUAGAGGUGAAAUUCGUAGAUAUUGGGAAGAACACCAGUGGCGAAGGCGGCUCACUGGACCGACACUGACGCUGAGGCGCGAAAGCGUGGGGAGCAAACAGGAUUAGAUACCCGGGUAGUCCCUGUCUCUUAUAA